UGCCCGGGCGCCCGUGGCGUUAGACUGAUGCUGUGAGGCUCCACAGAGGCAGUAACAGUCUACAGCCAUGGACACCCGGCGG
rnacentral:pre_miRNA from 1 species